rnacentral:sRNA from 1 species
GCUGGGCGUGGUGGCUCACGCCUGUAAUCCCAGCACUUUGGGAGGCCAAGGUGGGUGAAUCACCUGAGGUCAGGAGUUCAAGACCAGCCUGACCAACAUGGUGAAACCCCGUCUUUA